rnacentral:misc_RNA from 1 species
AUAUAUCAAACCCUCUCUCGUUUGAGUGGUUUUGGAUGGUGGGGGUUUGUUGGCCCUAAGGGUUCAGCUCCUCUGAAAUACAUUAGCGGAACAACCUGUUGUUCAUUGGUGUGAUAACUAUCUACGCUAUUGAACGUGUGGGGCAGUUCAGCUUUCUAAUGGUCCUUUGGACAAAUAUUUAUCAUUUAU